GUAUCACUACUCUCUCUCACCUAAUCACUAUUCACCUUCUCCCCCAAUUUCACAAAAAUUAGGAAAAAUCUCCCUCUUCUAUUCGUCGACCAGCCACCCCACCAGCACCGCCUCCGCUUCCAUUUUCGUCUCCGACGGUGUUCUCUUCCUCCUCCUCAUCUCUCCCUUUCUCUUCUCUCCCUCUUCACCGUACGCCGCUACCUUCUCUCUCUCUCUCCCCCGAUCUGCCGGCGCCGCCUCGCGGAUCUGCCGGAGCCGCCUCGCGGAUCUGCCGGAGCCGCGGAUCCGCCUCCGUCGCCUCCUUCCUCUCCCUCUCCUUUCUCUCCCUCGGCUCCCUCUUCCUUUCCCGGAUCUGUCGCCGCCGCCGCCGCUACUGUGCAUGCACAGGCGGCGGCUUCGCCCUCCUCCGCGCCUCGUGCUACCGGAGCAGCUUCCCGGCGUCACUCCAGCCCCGGCCGCCGCCUCCUCGCCGAACUCCCGGAAGAUUUGUCAAGAUUUUAUUGAAAGUCAUAGAGGUGUGAGGCUGCCUUCGUCGUCUCCGGGAUGCCGAGCUCGCUGCCGGAAUCCGACAGAUUCAUAGAGGUAUAAUCGGUUCAAGUUCGUGGCCGUCCGUGUUGAAGUACCCGAUUUUCUUAAAACGCAUGAUGUACAAAUUUAAUUUUGUUGGAUUUUUGUUGAAUGUAUCGGACAUUAAAAUUUUAAAUUUUGGGGUCUUAUUUAUUUAUUCAUUUAAAUUUAUUA